UACGGAGGAUGCAAGCGUUAUCCGGAAUGAUUGGGCGUAAAGCGUUCGCAGGUGGCAAUGUAAGUCUGCUGUUAAAGAGUCUAGCUCAACUAGAUAAAAGCAGUGGAAACUACAUAGCUAGAGUACGUUCGGGGCAGAGGGAAUUCCUGGUGUAGCGGUGAAAUGCGUAGAGAUCAGGAAGAACACCAGUGGCGAAGGCGCUCUGCUAGGCCGUAACUGACACUGAGGGACGAAAGCUAGGGGAGCGAAUGGG
rnacentral:rRNA from 1 species